CUUGCCCUGUGUCUCCACCCAAGAUCUUAGACCUUUGUUCUUAGACUGACAGUCACAUCAUUGACUUGCCUGUGGAAAUGGACUGUGCCAUGUGGCUGGCACUGCAGGACCUCCAGAUUGCAGUCUGCCUAUUAGGGCGACAGGCUCAAGGGUGUCAGCUUGGUUAUGACUGAAUGGCAAUGACCUUCAAAGGAAACUUCACGCAACCUGAGUCUUCAUUCUAGAUCUCUGGAGAGGCAUCUGUGGUGGAUUGACAACUGGUGGUCAACUUGUAACAACCAGCUAAACUGAAUCAGUGUGUUGGUGCUGAGGAUUGAUGCCAACAGCAUGAAAAGGAGAACCAGAGAGGAAGAAGUAUUGUUGUUGGUUUGCCUGUGGCCAUUGCUCCGUCUGCUUGAUACUGGUUUUAGGUAUAUACAGAAUGCAAGAGAUCUGAGGCUUAAAAGGCUUCCACCCUGAUUUCAGAAGGGCUGGGAGGCCAGACAGUGUGCCCCUGAGAGGACAGUGUGUGAAGUGAAAGAUGUAGUUUAGAAAAGCUAGGAGCAUGGAUCUUCUAAGGAAACCUGUAAGGAGGGAGCAAAGCCAGCCUGAGAAAAGCAGUGGCAGCUACAGCCACCAGAAGUGCCACGGGAGUGGAGUCACUCAAGCCCAUUGGAGCUCACAACCAGAUCGUUUCAUUUGCUGGACAUGGAACUACAGGACCUAAUGUUUGCUCUGUUGCAUUUUUGACUUGCUUUUGUCCCAAUCCUUUGUGUCAUCCUAUUGUACCCUUUUGAAUGAUAAUGUUUAUCUUGUGCCAUUGAAUUUUGGAAGUGUUUAACUUUUCAUUUGUAUAGGGGCUCCCAGCUAAGAGUCUUCCUUAGAUCUUGGAAGAGACUUGGGAAUUGGACUUUUCAGCAGUGCUGAAACUGUAAGGACAUUGGCAACUCUUGGACAUGGACUAAUUGUAUUUUGCAUAAGGAAUGUACAUGAGUCUUUGAGGAGCCAGGAGAGGACUGUUAUGGUUUGUGUUUAGAUGUCCCCCCAAACCUCAUGCAGUCAUGUGGGCAGGCUUCUAAAAUGUGUGACUGAUUCCUGGUCCAAGGAUGAGAUUAUGGGUGUGAGUGCUACACCCAAGUGAGUGUGGCCUACAUACAACAUAAAGGACAGAAAGAGUCUUCUCUCAAGCUCCUUCCUUUUUGCCCGUGUUGCUUUUGGUAUCUGUCACUGCCAUGAACUGUUUGUUUCUCAACUGAGUAUGGACUGAAAGCUCCACAAAUGUGAGUUUUAAUAAACCUUUCCUUCCUUCA